rnacentral:rRNA from 1 species
AACGAACGCUGGCGGCAUGCCUAACACAUGCAAGUCGAACGAGACCUUCGGGUCUAGUGGCGCACGGGUGCGUAACGCGUGGGAAUCUGCCCUUGGGUUCGGAAUAACAGUUAGAAAUGACUGCUAAUACCGGAUGAUGUCUUCGGACCAAAGAUUUAUCGCCCAGGGAUGAGCCCGCGUAGGAUUAGCUAGUUGGUGGGGGUAAAGGCCUACCAAGGCGACGAUCCUUAGCUGGUCUGAGAGGAUGAUCAGCCACACUGGGACUGAGACACGGCCCAGACUCCUACGGGAGGCAGCAGUGGGGAAUAUUGGACAAUGGGCGAAAGCCUGAUCAGCAAUGCCGCGUGAGUGAUGGAGGCCGUUAGGUUGUAAACUCUUUACCGGAUGAUAAUGACAGUACC